rnacentral:rRNA from 1 species
CACGUAGGGCGCAAGCGUUGUCCGGAAUUAUUGGGCGUAAAGAGCUCGUAGGCGGCCUGUCGCGUCCGCUGUGAAAUCCCGGGGCUUAACCCCGGGCGUGCAGUGGAUACGGGCUGGCUGGAGGCAGGCAGGGGAGAACGGAAUUCCCGGUGUAGCGGUGAAAUGCGCAGAUAUCAGGAAGAACACCCGUGGCGAAGGCGGCUCUCUGGGCCGUAACUGACGCUGAGGAGCGAAAGCGUGGGGAGCGAACAGG